rnacentral:lncRNA from 1 species
UCAGACAUUGCCCUCAUCUGAUUUUGCUUUCUCUCCGUUUUUGAAUACACAUACACAUACAAGCAGAGAUGGGGAAUUUCAGUCCGAAAAAAUCGAGUGAACCAUAGUGAGAACAGAUCUGGACGAGCUGAAAGCAGGGUAAAAAACUUUCCAAUUUUGAAGCAAGGUUCAGUUGCUGAAGUUUCGGUGGCGAUUUGGUCUGUGUUCGGGUUUAUU